UCCGAAUUGGUGUAGUGGCUAACAUUUGACGCUCUCAACAAAGAUCCGUCAAGCCCGGGGUUCGAUUCCCCGAUUCGGAG